AGGUCAUGGAGAACUCAUCAGACCCCAUUGUCAGUCAUAUGUAAGAUUGGCCAGACUCAAGUUCAUAUGUAAAUUUUGUAAAAUUUUUUUUUCAGUAUUCACACUUGUUUUGAUCAAAGACUUUCUAAACUCAGUCUCAUAAAUUAUAUAGGACUUCUCCUUUUCUACUAAGAUCGAUAGAUUCCUUCUAAAUGCAUCCUACUUUAAAUAGCAAAUAUAAACCUACUAAAACCAACAUACACAGUAAGGAUUUGAAUGGCUAGGGACUAAGAAAAUGUACAGUCAAACUCAGCAGUCUCGCUGUGAAUAACCAAUGACACCAC
rnacentral:lncRNA from 1 species